UGGGGAAUCUUGCGCAAUGGGCGAAAGCCUGACGCAGCGACGCCGCGUGAGUGAUGAAGGCCUUCGGGUUGUAAAGCUCUGUGGGGAGAGAAGAAUAAGUGCGGGCUAAUACUCCGCAUGAUGACGGUAUCUCCUUAGCAAGCACCGGCUAACUCUGUGCCAGCAGCCGCGGUAAGACAGAGGGUGCAAACGUUGUUCGGAAUUACUGGACGUAAAGCGAGUGUAGGCGGUUUGGUAAGUCGGAUGUGAAAGCCCCGGGCUCAACCCGGGAAGUGCACUCGAUACUGCCAAGCUAGAGUAUCGGAGAGGUUGGUGGAAUUCUCGGUGUAGAGGUGAAAUUCGUAGAUAUCGAGAGGAACACCUGAGGUGAAGACGGGUUGCUGGGCUGACACUGACGCUGAGGCGCGAAGGCCAGGGGAGCAAACGGGAUUAGAUACCCGGGUAGUCCCUGAGCGGGCUGGCAAGGCGCAU
rnacentral:rRNA from 1 species